CGUGUCCCCCACCCAGGAGUCCCCUGGGUCGCACCUGACCCUCCAAAGAGCUCCUGUGCCCCCAGAGCCCUGCUUGUCCCCGAGCCUCACCUUACACCAUAGCGGUCCCCCAACAUGACAUGGUUCCGGAAGGUCCGGUUCACGUCCAGGUCGAUUUGCCUGAUGUCUUUGGAGGAGAGCUGGGCCCGCUCCUUCAUUUUCUGGGGGCAGAACCAGGGAGGAGGAACCAGCAUCGGGGCACAGAACCCCAACUGCCACUAACUGCCCCCAAAGCAGGGAGCGUCCCGAGCCGCCGCGUGACUUGUCCUGAGGACAUGUCCUUCCUUCCCUGGUCUCUGAGGUAGGACCCCAUAGGAGCACAUCCUUCCUGGGACACCUGCAUCAGGGAUCAUACUCGGCAGCCCUGGAAGCCCAGGACACUCCCGAGGGUGUGCAGCACCCACCUUCUCGCUGGGCCAGUAGUGGUCCCAGUUGCAAAGCAUCUUCGCCCACUUGUCGGCCCUGUGGGUCUCCUGGUGAUGUUGCUGGAACAGGAGAAGGGAGCAGCGGAUAAGCCACCCGGAGCAGUAGACCGGCCCACGGGUAACAUCCAGGUGCUCUGCGGAGUGGGGCUGGCAUGGGAACAGACUGAGAGGAGCCUAGGAGGCACAGGGCCAUUCCCGCUGACCACAUCUCCAGGGGUCAGAGAGAGAAGUUCCUGUCAAUGCAUUCUGCCCCUGAGCUGGCCGGAGGAGGGCCCCAGGACUCACUGCAGGAAGCCGUGAUGGUCCGUGAGCCUGCACAGCGAGACUGCACAACGAGAGGGCCAACCACAGCCCCUUGGUCUCCUCUGCGGAACUGACGCUCUGGACCCUGCCUGGGGCAUUCAUGCUCUCGCUGCUGAAGUCUCCCUUGGGGCCAGACCUGCUCCUACAUGCCUAAGACCCCACCUGGAUCCCCCAAGUUCCUGCUGACUGGGAUCUCAGCUUGGGCCUCCCGAGCUCCUGCUGCCUAUGAUCCCUGCCUUGACCCCAUCAACAACUGACCCCUAGGAUUCCUGAUGGACCUUCAGCUGCUUCCCAUGUCUGGGACUGUCCCCCGCCUCACACGUGUUCCCGAGCACUCUGGUCCUUGUCAGGGCU